rnacentral:rRNA from 1 species
GACGAACGCUGGCGGCGUGCUUAACACAUGCAAGUCAAACGAUGAUGCCCAGCUUGCUGGGUGGAUUAGUGGCGAACGGGUGAGUAACACGUGAGUAACCUGCCCCUGACUCUGGGAUAAGCGUUGGAAACGACGUCUAAUACUGGAUAUGACUGCCGGCGGCAUGGUCUGGGGGUGGAAAGAUUUUUUGGUUGGGGAUGGACACGGGGUCUAUCAGCUUGUUGGUGAGGUAAUGGCUCACGAAGGCGACGACGGGUAGCCGGCCUGGGAGGGGGACCGGCCACACUGGGACUGAGACACGGCCCAGACUCCUACGGGAGGCAGCAGUGGGGAAUAUUGCACAAUGGGCGAAAGCCUGAUGCAGCAACGCCGCGUGAGGGAUGACGGCCUUCGGGUUGUAAACCUCUUUUAGUAGGGAAGAAGCGAAAGUGACGGUACCUGCAGAAAAAGCACCGGCUAACUACGUGCCAGCCGCCGCCGUAA